rnacentral:rRNA from 1 species
UACGUAGGGGGCAAGCGUUGUCCGGAAUUAUUGGGCGUAAAGAGCUCGUAGGCGGUUUGUUGCGUCGGCUGUGAAAACUCGGGGCUUAACCCCGAGCCUGCAGUGGAUACGGGCAGACUAGAGGUAGGUAGGGGAGAAUGGAAUUCCCGGUGUAGCGGUGAAAUGCGCAGAUAUCGGGAGGAACACCGGUGGCGAAGGCGGUUCUCUGGGCCUUACCUGACGCUGAGGAGCGAAAGCGUGGGGAGCGAACAGG